AUUGAACGCUGGCGGCAGGCCUAACACAUGCAAGUCGAACGAGUGGCGGACGGGUGAGUAAUGUCUGGGAAACCGCCCGAUGGAGGGGGAUAACUACUGGAAACGGUAGCUAAUACCGCAUACCCUCGGAUGUGCCCAGAUGGGAUUAGCUAGUAGGUGGGGUAACGGCUCCCAUAGGCGACGACCCCUAGCUGGUCUGAGGGGAUGACCGGCCCCACGGGAACUGGGACAGGGACAGAGCUCCUACGGAGGGCGGAGGGUGGUAAUAUUCGCCAAUGGGCGCAAGCCUGAUGCAGCCAGGCCGCGUGUAUGUGUAAGGCCUUCGGGUGGAAAGGUACUUUCAGCGAGGAGGCGGUACUGGCAGAAAAAGCAUCGGCUAACUACGUGCCAGCCGCCGCGGUAAUUC
rnacentral:rRNA from 1 species